GUGGGGAAUCUUGCGCAAUGGGCGAAAGCCUGACGCAGCCAUGCCGCGUGAAUGAUGAAGGUCUUAGGAUUGUAAAAUUCUUUCACCGGGGACGAUAAUGACGGUACCCGGAGAAGAAGCCCCGGCUAACUUCGUGCCAGCAGCCGCGGUAAUACGAAGGGGGCUAGCGUUGCUCGGAAUUACUGGGCGUAAAGGGCGCGUAGGCGGACAUUUUAGUCAGAGGUGAAAGCCCAGGGCUCAACCUUGGAAUUGCCUUUGAUACUGGCUGUCUUGAGUACGGGAGGGGUGAGUGGAACUACGAGUGUAGAGGUUAAAUUCGUAGAUAUUCGGAAGAACACCAGUGGCGAAGGCGACUCACUGGCCCGUUACUGACGCUGAGGCGCGAAAGCGUGGGGAGCAAACAGGAUUAGAAACCCGGGUAGUCC
rnacentral:rRNA from 1 species